rnacentral:rRNA from 1 species
UACGUAGGGGACGAGCGUUGUCCGGAUUCAUUGGGCGUAAAGCGCGCGUAGGCGGCCACGCAAGUCGGGUGUGAAAUCCCGGAGCUCAGCUCCGGAACUGCACUCGAAACUGCGCGGCUUGAGGUAGGUAGGGGAGAUCGGAAUUCCUGGUGUAGCGGUGGAAUGCGCAGAUAUCAGGAGGAACACCCGUGGCGAAGGCGGCUCUCUGGAACGCAACUGACGCUGAGACGCGAAAGCGUGGGGAGCAAACAGG